GACGAACGCUGGCGGCGUGCUUAACACAUGCAAGUCGAACGAAGUGGCGCACGGGUGAGUAACGCGUAAUCAACCUGCCCUUCAGAGGGGGACAACAGGUGGAAACGACUGCUAAUACCGCAUACUGAAGGAGGGGAUUGCGUCUGAGUAGCUAGUUGGCGGGGUAACGGCCCACCAAGGCGAUGAUCAGUAGACGGUCUGGGAGGAUGAACGGCCACAUUGGGACUGAGACACGGCCCAGACCCCUACGGGAGGCAGCAGUGGGGAAUCUGCAGAAAUGGACGAAAGUGUGACGGAGCAACGCCGCGUGAGUGAUGACGGCCUUCGGGUGGUAAAGCUCUGUUAAUCGGGACGCGGUACCGGAAUAGAAAGCCACGGCUAACUACGUGCCAGCAGCCGCGGUAAUAC
rnacentral:rRNA from 1 species